AAUGGUUGUAUCUAAAAACGGUUGAUAAAAGUCGACUUCAUAAGGACAAUUGAAUGGCCGCGGUAACACUGACCGUGAUAAUGUAGCGUAAUCAAUAGCCAAUUAAUUGUUGGCCAGUAUGAAUGGCGUCACGAAGGCCCCACUGUCUUAAGAGAAUUCCCAGUGAAAUUGAAUUCGUAGUGAAGAUGCUACGUCCAAUUUGUUAGACGAAAAGACCCCAUUGAGCUUUACUGGAGUCUUACAUUGCUCGGAUCAACUCUCGCCCCCCCCUUGGCGGGGGGGUCGAAUUUAAAUGGAUAGCUUAGAUUAUGUGGUGUCAUAACCGUCGAUCAAGUAGUCCUUACAGGAUUACCCCCCCGAAGGUUGACCUAUUUGGGUGAAUGAAACCCCACUCUUCUUUGUUAAAUGAGCUAACCCUUUUCUCCCUUAAAGGGGACAAUGUAAGUUGGACAGUUUGGUUGGGGCGACCGCCUUUUAAAGAGUAACGAAGGUGUGCUUAAGGUACAUAAUUUAUAACACAAGCCUGACUGCGAGGGGGACCCUCCGAGCAGACACCUAAAGUCUUCUCCCUUCCCCCCGAAGGUUAAAGACGAAUGGUGGGUUAUAGUGACCCGUUAAUUUAGAGUGGAAUAGUUAACGAUCAACGAAUAAAA
rnacentral:rRNA from 1 species